UCUGGUGACACUAAGAGUAUAAAUUGGGGCUGGGCUCUGCCCCUGUAUCACAUCCAAGGCCAACAUGAAGACCGGCACCAUCUUUGUUCUGGUGGCUUUUGUCAUCAUGGGGCUGCAGGUGGCCUGUGCUCAGAGACUUCCUUCGAGAGGACGACCGAGACCUGGACAAUGCCCAGGCCUGAAAAUUGGUGUUGUGGGGCCUUGUAUUAACCGUUGCACAAGAGAUGAUAUGUGUCCCAGGCCAAAGAAAUGCUGCUUGCUCGGGGGCAAAUGUCUUACCUGCCAAAAUCCUAUCUUCUGGAAGGGUGGCCCUGGAGGCCAUGUGAAAGCUGGACCUGUCGUUGAGUGAGCAUGCUUGGAGACCAGUUGCCGAAUAUUGCUUAUGAAUCCAUGAAUUCGAUGCUGGGCAUAACAGCAAGACCUGCACAUCCACUCCUGCCUGCUUCCUGUCCCUGGAAUUGGAGCCCUCGAAGAUGGAGCUCUCAAAUGGUCGAAUGACGGCUUUCUAAAGAGCCUGUGCCCGAAAUAAACUCUAUCUGUGGCAUUC